UCAAGGUUUUUAUAGGCCGAUCCAGCGGAGUAGUGGGCGUUGAAAGUAAAUCCUCAGGUUUCUCUUCUCUGAAUUCUUCAGCCAUAUGGAGAUUCGAACAUGUGACUUAAGGUUCAAACCCUGGAAUUAAAAUUUUUUUUCACAUUCUGGCUGGUAAAAGAUGAAGGGGCAAAACGGAGGAUCAUAAAUUAGCAACCAAAUGAGAUCAAAUUCCCUCUUCCAGCCAUUCAUGGCAUUGACAUUGGAUUCAUGGGUGGACCCAUUUCUCAUGCUGGUAUUAACACUUCUCACAGGCCAUUAACAAUAGAGGAUUACUGAGUUGCAUCAUAAACUUAG